rnacentral:rRNA from 1 species
AGUCGAGCGGACUUGAUGAGAAGCUKGCUUCUCUGAUAGUUAGCGGCGGACGGGUGAGUAACACGUAGGCAACCUGCCCUCAAGCUUGGGACAACUACCGGAAACGGUAGCUAAUACCGAAUAGUUGUUUUCUUCUCCUGAAGAAAACUGGAAAGACGGAGCAAUCUGUCACUUGGGGAUGGGCCUGCGGCGCAUUAKCUAGUUGGUGGGGUAACGGCUCACCAAGGCGACGAUGCGUASCCGACCUGAGAGGGUGAUCGGCCACACUGGGACUGAGACACGGCCCASACUCCUACGGGAGGCAGCAGUAGGGAAUCUUCCGCARUGGGCGAAAGCCUGACGGAUCAAUGCCGCGUGAGUGAUGAAGGUUUUCGGAUCGUAAAGCUCUGUUGCCRGGGAAGAACGCUUGGGAGAGUAACUGCUCUCAAGGUGACGGUACCUGAGAAGAAAGCCCCGGCUAACUACGUGCCAGCAGCCGCGGUAAUACGUAGGGGGCAAGCGUUGUCCGGAAUUAUUGGGCGUAAAGCGCGCGCAGGCGGUCAUUUAAGUCUGGUGUUUAAUCCCGGGGCUCAACCCCGGAUCGCACUGGAAACUGGGUGACUUGAGUGCAAAAAAGGAGAGUGGAAUUCCACGUGUAGCGGUGAAAUGCGUAAAUAUGUGGAGGAACACCAGUGGCGAAGGCGACUCUCUGGGCUGUAACUGACGCUGAGGCGCGAAAGC